rnacentral:lncRNA from 1 species
CAUCCAUGGCCUGUGGCCAGGCCAGGUAUUAGAACAGGAUGUGUGGGAACUUCUUUCCAUUGGAAGAGUAAUCCUUGUGUUCCACCUACCAGGAUGGUAUCUCCUGGGUCAGGACUGGCAGCAACUUCUCUCCCAUCCCUCACCCAGACCCCACCUGCUCUUUGGGGCCAGUGAAUGGUUCCAGGUGCCAGCUCCCUUGCUCACCAUUCCUAGGUGUCAGCACGAUACUUGAGGCUGCAGAUAACUGUGCAGCUGAGAUUACCCUUUGACAGAUGAGAAUUUCAUGUCUUGUGAUUGUAUUGGACAAGCAAAUAUUUAGAGUGAACCUCAGUGGAAAGGAUGCAAUGAGAAAGCUAUUCCUGGCCAGAGCACUGAUUGUGGACAUGUUUUUUCUGUUACUGGGACAGUUCUUUGCUAAUGUAGUUUGUGUGCAAUGAAGAAGGCAUUAACAAUUCUGUCUUUUUAGUCAAAAUGCUACAGGCUCAGGGCAGACAGAGAAACUCAGCCCCUCUGGGUUUGGUGUAUCCCUCAGCUACCAAAGCUCAGAGUGGCACAGCUGGGCUGGCCAAUGCUUGGCACCUCUGCUCUUGGCACAGGCGACAGAGACCCAGGUGCCAUGCUGCCAGUUUUCCUUGUCUUUUUCAUCAUUUCCUUCUUUGUCACUCUGCCAGUAUCAGUAUCCAAACAAGUCGAUAUCCAAAUAUGUGGAGAGAGGCUCUGUAGGCUAAAUAGGACAGUGUAUUGGGUCUGGAGGUGGGGAACUGGGUUCAAGCCUUGGCUCUGCCAUUAACUGACUCUGAAGGCCUUGGAGUCCUCAUCAAAUGAGUAAGGAAGAAAGACUUGUGGAUCUUGGUGUCUUUGCCCAUGUUAGAAGGUGGUAACUUCUCAUCCCCUACCCCUGUCUGAGAAGGGUAUCUGAGAUUGAAGUUCGUGAGAAAAGGCUUUGUCACUGACUGUAGCAGUUGUGUCAGCCUCUGAGGUAGCUUUUAUCCAUAAAAAGAGGAAAAUAAAGCCUGCUCUUCCUAAUUCACAAGGUUUUAGGGUUACAUAGCAUUACAUUCAUUCAUUCAUUCAUUCCCAUGAUUAAUGAGGAUCUAUGUAUGUGUUGGUUCUUGAAAUGUAACGCUGAGAUGUAGUUUCCGUGUUUGAGGGGCUGUUUUUUUUCAGUAUGAGCGCUAUACCCUUAGCCCUUUUCAUUUUAAGGCAAGGUCUUGCUAAAUCACUAAGUUGUACAGGCUGUGCUUGAACAUAGGAUCUUCCCGCUUCAGUCUCCCA